GAUUUUUGUCACUUUUACAAUUCUCUCUCUCUCUCUAAAUUUGAGUUUUCUGCUCUCUCUCUCUCUACUUUAGAGCAUUUUCUCUCUCUAAGUCCGAGCCCCAUCUUCUUCGUCCGACCAGAAGCCUCCCUAGCCUUUCUCAAAGAGACCGACCCAGAGAUGGCCGAACGAUUGACCUCCGCUGCACUGAAAGCGGCUCGGAUUAGGGCCGAGAUGAAGGCCAACAAGAUUAACAAGCCUUCUAAGCCAAAAGAUCCUUCCAACCCUAAACCGAGGAAGCGCAAGGAGCGCACUGAAGAGAGGGUGGAAAUGACGGAAAAGGCUUUGGCGAAAACCCGACCAGCAGGAGGCUUCCGCAAAGAAGGCUAGAAAGGAGCCUUCUGUCGAGGUGAAUAGUCCUCGGCCCGACUCUGGAGGUGGGGAGACCCAUGUCUCGGUCCAUCCCUCAGAUUUCGAGCCUGUUCGGAGUCCGGGGUGGAAGGAAGAGAGGGCCAAUCUCUCCCUGGCUAAGGAGAAUGCUGAGGCGGCUAAGGUCACGGCCGAAACCAAGCAGGCUCAUGCCGAGAAGGAGCUGGAGGAGGUCAAACUCAAACUCUCUGCGGCCGAGGGCAAACUGAAAGAGGCCCAAGCGGCCGUUUCUCGCUCUCGGGAGGAGUGGUUCCAAGCUUGGCAGAAGUCGGAUGACUGUACCGAUUUCUGCGCCGACGUGGGCCAAUCUUCCCAUAAGAUGGGCAAGGACGAGGCGCUUGCUAGGCUUAAGAUAGCCUUUGCUGAUUCCUGUCCCGGGGCCGACUGGAAUUCAGUCUGGUCUCGCUACCAGGAGCUGGCCGAUGCCGACGCCGCGAGAUUAAGGCCAGGAUGGCUGAAGAGAUGAGCUCGGACAGCGACUCUGACUCGAUGAUGAAGAGGAAGAUGCUGGUAGCACCGAGCCAGCUCCACCAGAGCAACCUGCGGCCGAGCAACCUGCCACUGGCCCUUCUGCUUAGCUUCCUUAGGAUUUUUAUUUUCUUAGCUUUGGCCUUGUCGGCCCUUUUAGCUUUUCUGCUUUCCGA